GUCAUGUGCUAAACUAAAUCUUGCUGCUGCCUAAGGUGAAAGGGUGGAACUCGCGUCAUGUGAACUUUGGUUCCGCUUUACUUUCAUCAAGUCACAUUAUGCUGUGUGUAAUAAUAAUAAUCAUAUGAG